UAUAUCCGUGUGUUGUUGUACUUUUGAACUUCAUCAGUUUUGUGUUCAACAUUUAACAUUAGCGGUUGAUAGUUAACUACCAAAUACAAGAUGUGGCAGCCCGAUCCAUUCCAUAAUGAGUUGGUCUCUAUUAUGGAUGAAUUAAUGAUGUCAUUGGAGGAGGAAAUUGACAAAUGUAUGGCGGUCUCGGUCUCCUCAACACAAUACAGCACAGACAUUGAUGCAGGAGAGACAGGGGAAAUUGAAAGAGAAUCCAAGUUGGAGGUAAAAGUCCAGUUGACAUGUGUGAUGAAACAGACUAUCACCAAAAUUAACCAGUUGAUCUCCAAAUGCACUGCAGCCCUGCGUUCAGCGUUAUGCCAGAGUCAAAGUGAGAUGAAAUCUCUGAAAAUGAAGUUAUUGGAGAUGGCUGAUGGUAAGAAAAUACCUGAAAAGACAGUGGGAAGAGCCCCACAUACUGUGGAAGAGGAGGAAUGGACAGAAGCACCAUUAUCACCAGAGUUUGCAGAGGAUUUUGAGGUUGACAUUCUAACUCCCAGUGUUGAGGCUGACAACACUACAAAAUGCAAGAAGGAGACCACAAUCAGAGCUAGAACCAUAGAGAUGGAACAAUGUUUUAUAUCUCUGGCUAAAAUACCUUCCUCCUCACUCACUGAGUCUAUCAAACAGUUGGCUAGUACAGACAAAAAGGCAGCAUGCAGGCCUACAGACAAAAAGGCAGCAAGCAGGCCUACAGACAAAAAGGCAGCAAGCAGGCCUACAGACAAAAAGGCAGCAAGCAGGCCUACAGACAAACAGUCAGCAAGCAGGCCUACAGACAAAAAGGCAGCAAGCAGGCCUACAGACAAACAGUCAGCAAGCAGGCCUACAGACAAACAGUCAGCAAGCAGGCCUACAGACAAACAGUCAGCAAGCAGGCCUACAGACAAACAGGCAGCUAGUACAGACAAACAGUACAGACAAACUAGUACAGAUAAACAGUCAGCAAGCAGGCCUACAGACAAUCAGGCCCCAAGUACAGACCCCCAAACUCCCAGUGGGGACUCUGUGAUGUCCACCAGACCCAGGAGGAAGAAGAAGAGAACAGAAGCACAACCCACGGCGGCAGAAUCAGACGGAAGUGAGGAAAAUGCCAAUGAUGACCAAUGGGAGGAGGAGAAUGCUAAAGCUGGACAAACCUCGAAUGACGAAUCUGUUCACAACAUAAAGCAAAGGCCUGACAUAAAAAAAAACAAGACUACCACCACCAGGAAAGAGCACCACUGUCUGGACUGCGGUAAGGUUUUUAAGAAUUCAAGUAAUUUAAAACUGCAUCAACAGACUCACACAGGAGAGAGACCUUAUUGUUGUGAACUAUGUGGGAAAUGUUUCCCGACUGCUUGGAAGCUCAGACUACACCAAGCAGUGGUCCACAGAAGGGAGAAGCCGCUUGAGUGUCCAACAUGUGGGAAGUGCUUUGCAACAAAGAGUUAUUUGGACACUCACGCAAGCGUUCAUUCAACAGAGAAACCGUUCCGAUGCCUCGUGUGUCAGAAGUGUUUUAAAAGUAAAAAGGGCUUCAAGGAACACACAAUGAUGCACAGUUCAAAUUCAAAUUCAUAUGCUUGUGACAAAUGUCCAAAAGCCUUCGUAAAGUUGAAAUACCUCAAGAAUCACCAGCUAACUCACAGUGGAGGAGGAGCUCACCGUUGUGAAUUGUGUGGGAAAGGUUUCAAGUCUCCUUCUCAGCUCAAACAGCACCAAUCAUCAGUCCAUAGGAGAGAGAAGCCAUUCCAAUGUCCGACAUGUGGGAAAUGCUUCACAACAAAGACAAAUGUGAAAAAUCACGCAAGUGUUCAUUCAGGAGAGAGAGCAUUCCAGUGCCCUCAGUGUCAGAUGUGUUUCAAAACCAAGUAUACUCUUAACGCCCAUAAGAAGACGCACACGGACUCCAAGCCGUAUGCUUGCGACAAAUGCCCAAUGACCUUUAUUCGGUCGCAUUACCUCAGGAGGCAUGAAGUCUCGCACCUGACCAGCAAGCCGUUUGCGUGCAGCCACUGUGGGAAAGGCUUCAAAGGUGAACGUGGGCUCAAGAGACACGAACGCACCCACACCGAAGACCCGCCUUAUACCUGUGACGAAUGUGGCAAGGGUUUCUAUCAACACGAAUCGUUUCAAGUCCAUGCAGCCUUGCACACCGGAGAGAAGCCGUUCACCUGUGAUUACUGCAGUAAAACCUUUGCUCUGGCGUCCUACCUUAAAACCCACAUAGCGAAUCAUCACUCUGUCACCAAACCCCACGUCUGUGGGAAAUGUGGCAAGAAAUAUAAGGAUUUCACCCAUUUCAGAAUCCAUAUGUUUCAGAGUUGUCCAGAGGAGGCUGCGGUGUUGGUUUGACUUAAAUGUUUUUCAUUGUUAUUUUGGAAUUGUGAAGUUGUAAUAUGUUAUUUUUUCACUACAGAAAUGCAUGUUUACUUGCUAUGAUAGAGCACAGUACCACACAUUCAUUUUGAAAAUAUAUUUUAUGUAUACAGACUUUGGAGUGGAUCUAUAACCCCCUCUUAAAUUACACCCCUGAUUGGAUGCAGGUUACAACCUGUAACUUUCAUUCUGACAAUGCUUUGUUAUUCAUUGUUAUUUUGGAAUUGUGAAUAAAGUUGUAAUAAGUUAUUGUUUCAUUACAAACGUAUGUUUAGUUGUUAAUCAAUAUACAAUAAUAAUAGAGCCUAUCACCCAGUCACUAUUCAAUGACGACUCAAGCCCUCAAUUCGUUUAUUUCACAAUAAUACCUUGAGCAGACAGACACCCUCCCUGAAUUAACACAUCUCCAUGUUUAGAAGUCAUCAAGAUCAUGAAGGGAUGUGAAACAUUUUGACAGUUGCCUAUAGCAUUAUAAUGAAUUGAGCUGACUUGAUUCCUUAUUCUGACAACCAAUCAUAUCUGUUCUACACGAUACGUUUCUGAAUCUAACAUUAUCUAACAACAUCUCUCUGAACAGGCCCCAGCUGUGGCCGCUGGAGCUUGUGGUUAGGACCAGGAGUUUUCACAUGCCCAUGUGACCUCACCAGGAUAAACUGUCUGCAGGCCCUUUAGAAAAGUCAAUGCACUAUCCUCUUAGAAAGGGAAACGCAUAGAACCAGUGUCUGGUUCGUUCAGCAUCCGCACAGGAGGCACUAUAUAAGGCAUUCAUUAUGCUUCAGUGAUACUGUUCAUUAAUAAUACGUAGACAUUCAAAUAGAGAUCAAUCAAUAAUUGCAGUACGUGAGUCAGCUAAAUACUGCAAAUUCAAGUCAUUAUGAUGACUCGACAGGAGUAGAUACUUGCUCACUGAAUGGGACAUUAUCAGUUGCUGUGCAUUGAGAUAUCACAGUAUUUUAAGGAAAUUAUUUUCCCCGAAAGUGUGCUAUAAAGAAAACAUUUUUACAGCGAAAGAUUCCAUUAUUUCCUUCAUUGUUUCGAUGGCAACGUUGCAGAGAUCGUGCUACAAGAUCGACCACUAGACGGCGCACGAGGCUCUUGGAGGAGGGUCUACGUGUUAACAUCCAGUUCAGCAGGUGGCAGUAACGCGCCUUUCUUUAUAACGUACAGCAAUGUUAAGCAGCUAGUGGAAGAAUAGAUCGGUUGAUGUGUUGUCAUAUGGUCUGUGGUUGUACUUAACAUUUAACAUUAGCCGUUGAUAGCUAAUUAACUACCAAAUACAAGAUGUGGCAGCCCGAUCCUUUCCAUAAUGAGUUGGUCUUUGUUAUGGAUGAUUUAAUGACGUCGUUGGAGGAUGAAAUUGACAAAUGUAUGGCGGUCUUAGUCUUUUCCACAAAAGACAGGACAGACAUUGAUGCAGUGGAGACGGGAGAAAUUGAAAGAGAAUCCAAGUUGGAGGUUAAAGUCCAGUUGACAUGUGUGAUGAAACAGUUUGUGAAACAGACUAUCAUCAAAAUCAACCAGUUGAUCUCCAAAGGCACAGCAGCACUGCGUUCAGAGAUAUGCCAGAGUCAAAGUGAGAUUAAAUCUCUGAAAAUGAAGCUAUUGGAGAUGACUGAUGGUAAGGAGAUACCUGAAAAGACAGUGGGAAGAGCCCCACAUACUGUGGAAGAGGAGGAAUGGACGGAAGCACCAUUAUCACCAGAGUUUGCAGAGGAUUUUGAGGUUGACCUGCCAACUCCCAGUGUUGAGGCUGCCAACACUACAAAUGUCAAGAAGGAGACCACGAUCAGAGCUAAAACCAUAGAGAUGGAACAAUCAUUUAUAUCUCUGGCUAAAAUACCUUCCUCCUCACUCACUGAGUCUAUCAAACAGGCGGCAAGCAGGCCUACAGACAAAAAGGCAGCAAGCAGGCCUACAGACAAAAAGGCCCCAAGUAUAGACCCCCAAACUCCCAGUGGGGACUCUGUGAUGUCCACCAGACCCAGGAGGAAGAAGAAGAGAACAGAAGCACAACCCACGGCGGCAGAAUCAGACGGAAGUGAGGAAAAUGCCAAUGAUGACCAAUGGGAGGAGGAGAAUGCUAAAGCUGGACAAACCUCGAAUGACGUAUCUGUUCACAACAUAAAGCAAAGGCCCAACAUAAAAAAAAACAAGACUACCACCACCAGGAAAGAGCACCACUGUCUGGACUGCGGUAAGGUUUUUAAGAAUUCAAGUAAUUUAAAACUGCAUCAACAGACUCACACAGGAGAGAGACCUUAUUGUUGUGAACUAUGUGGGAAAUGUUUCCCGACUGCUUGGAAGCUCAGACUACACCAAGCAGUGGUCCACAGAAGAGAGAAGCCGCUUGAGUGUCCAACAUGUGGGAAGUGCUUUGCAACAAAGCAUUAUUUGGACACUCACGCAAGCGUUCAUUCAACAGAGAAACCGUUCCGAUGCCUCGUGUGUCAGAAGUGUUUUAAAAGUAAAAGUGGCCUCAAGGAACACACAAUGUUGCACAAUUCAGAUUCAGAUACAUAUGCUUGUGACAAAUGUCCAAAAACCUUCCCAAAGUUGAAAUACCUCAAGAAUCACCAGCUAACUCACAGUGGAGGAGGAGCUCACCGUUGUGAAUUGUGUGGGAAAGGUUUCAAGACUCCUUCCGAGCUCAAACGGCACCAAGCAUCAGUCCAUAGGGGAGAGAAGCCAUUUCAAUGUCCGACAUGUGGGAAGUGCUUCGCAGAAAAUAAAAAUUUGAAAAUUCACGCAAGUGUUCAUUCAGAAGAGAGAGCAUUUCAGUGCCCUCAGUGUCAGAUGUGUUUCAAAACCAAGUAUACUCUUAACGACCAUAAGAAGACGCACACGGACUCCAAGCCGUAUGCUUGCGACAAAUGCCCAAUGACCUUUAUUCGGUCUUAUUACCUCAAGAUUCAUCAAGCUUCGCACCUGACCAGCAAGCCGUUUGCGUGCAGCCACUGUGGGAAAGGCUUCAAAAGUGAACGUGGGCUCAAGAGACACGAACGCACCCACACCGAAAAACCGACUUAUACCUGUGACGAAUGUGGCAAGGGCUUCUAUCAACACGAAUCAUUUAAAGUCCAUGCAGCCUUGCACACCGGAGAGAAGCCGUUCACCUGCGAUCACUGCGAUAAAACCUUUGCUCUGGCGUCCUACCUUAAAACCCACAUAUUGAAACUUCACUCUGUCACCGAACCCCACGUCUGUGGGAAAUGUGGCAAGAAAUAUAAGGAUUUCACCCAUUUCAGAAUCCAUAUGUUUCAGGGUUGUCAAGAGGAGGCUGCGGCGUUGGUUUGACUAUUAAAAAAAAAAAAUUGCAUAUCAUUGGAAAUGACAAUUUCUCAUCUUUCUAAUGUUGGAGGGGAUCUAAAUAUAUUGGAAAUAUAUGGUACAUGGAAAUCAAGAGAUGGUGGUCUACGACAAUAGGUGGGGUGGAAUUAAAAGCUCAUAAUCUGUAAUAGUUAGAACUGAAAACGCCAUAUCAUGCAUACCGGAAAUGUCUGCGUGCCAUUUAAGGUGUAAUGUGUAUAUCAAACUGUAUUUCUGACAUGUAAUACCGUGUAUAAAAGUACCAUGGAUGAAUAAUGUGCAUGUAAACAAAAAUGGAAUGCAGGUUACAUGCACAACCUGUAACUUUCAUUCUGAUAAUGGUUUGUUAUUCAUUGUUAUUUUGGAAUUGUGAAUAAAGUUGUAAAAUGUUGUUGUUUCACUA